rnacentral:lncRNA from 1 species
CCUCAUUAAAGAUUAAAACAAAAUUAAAUUACAUUAGACACAUUUAAAACUUGACGGUGUCACCGUCAAGUUUUAAAUGUGUGGAAAUGUGUCCUAUCGAAUAAAUAGAAUAGAAUAGAAGAGAAGAGAAGCAGUGGUGGAUCCAAGGUUUGAACCCCCUUUUUUUGGACGAUCAAUGCAUUUGAAUUGGGACAUGUAGUUGGACCCCCCCCCCCUUUUUUUGUCGUGGGUCAUGAACCCCCCUAUUUAAAAUGGCUGGAUCCGCCCAUGAGAAGUUUAAAUCGGGGUUACAUGAACAUUACAAACAUAAGCUUGGCAGUACUAGUAGAGUUUCGUAUCAACAUUGCUACCUUUCCAAUUUAAAAACAUUAGCAUAAUAAAUAUCUUUAUCACGCUUAAGGACUAUAGUCAACUUCAUGUGCUACAUUUGACUUUUUAAGAUAUACGCAUUUAAAAGAUGAUAUAUUCUAAAUGUACACACGUUUU